rnacentral:rRNA from 1 species
GACGAACGCUGGCGGCGUGCUUAACACAUGCAAGUCGAACGGAAAGGCCCUUCGGGGUACUCGAGUGGCGAACGGGUGAGUAACACGUGGGAGAUCUGCCCUGCACUUUGGGAUAAGCCUGGGAAACUGGGUCUAAUACCGGAUAGGACCACGGCAUUCACGUGCUGUGGUGGAAAGCUUUUGCGGUGUGGGAUGGGCCGGGGGCCUAUAAGCUUGUUGGUGGGGUAAUGGCCUAUCAAGGCGACGACGGGUAGCCGGCCUGAGAGGGUGGCCGGCCACACUGGUCCUGAGAUACGGCCCAGACUCCUACGGGAGGCAGCAGUGGGGAAUAUUACACAAUGGGCGCAAGCCUGUUGCAGAGACGCCGCGUGAGGGAUGACGGCCUUCGGGUUGUAAACCUCUUUCGCCAGAGACGAAGCGCAAGUGACGGUACCUGGAGAAGAAGGACCGGCCAACUACGUG